GACAGAGGGUGCAAACGUUGUUCGGAAUUACUGGGCGUAAAGCGAGUGUAGGCGGUGAAGUAAGUCGGACGUGAAAGCCCGGGGCUCAACCUCGGAAGUGCGCUCGAUACUGCUUCGCUUGAGUGUCGGAGAGGUUGGUGGAAUUCUGGGUGUAGAGGUGAAAUUCGUAGAUAUCCAGAGGAACACCGGUGGCGAAGGCGGCCAACUGGACGACGACUGACGCUGAGACUCGAAAGUGUGGGGAGCAAACAGG
rnacentral:rRNA from 1 species